GGCUUGGGCAUUUGCUUUUAGGUAGAAAAAGCUGCUUGAGGCUCUGUUCCUUACAGAAAGGAAAGCAAUGCUGCAAACCAGGUGACUCACCCAGAGGCCCGAUGAACAGCCUGAGUUCUUGCGAAUCAACAGACCAAGGAUUUGCUGACCAAGGUAUCGUAAUAGUCAACUGUUUUUUGGCAUGUGCAGCUAUCCUUAUGAUGCUCCAGAGCUGCUAAAAAGCUGGGGAAGCGGUUGUAGAAGAGAAAAUAAUCAAGGUAUGUACAAAAAAAAUGGGUUUAGGGACAGGUGGUGUAUGUCCUGCUGUGCUCCCUGAUGGAAUUAGCUCCUAUAAAAUGCCUCUUUGUGAAGAACCCAGAGUUCAAGCUUGGUGCUGUUUUUAGCAUCUGAGUAAGUGAACUUUUUAAGUGCCGGUGAGCCGAAGUGCUGGGUUUUUAGGCCGACACCAAGAUUUCCAAGCCACCCGAGCAGCGCGCUCGGAAGCGGUGGGU